AAGAUACAUAUGUACACAAAUUGCACUUAGGAUGUGGUACUUCAGGACCAAGAAUUGUAUAUUCUUUAAGCAACUUAAAUCUUUCAAGUUAAGUCAUAUAAGCUAUAUAAUAAACUUUAGAUGCACAUCAAGUUUUCAUUUCAUGCUAAACAAAUAAAAUAUCGAAAACUGAUUACACAUACCUUUGACCUUAUACUUUCAAG
rnacentral:lncRNA from 1 species